UACGGAGGGGGCGAGCGUUAUUCGGAAUCAUUGGGCGUAAAGGGCGCGGAGGCGGCCAGGCAAGUCAGGGCUGAAAUCCCUCGGCUCAACCGAGGAACUGCCUCUAUAACUGCCUAGCUCGAGGCCGGGAGAGUGUAGUGGAAUUCCCAGUGUAGCGGUGAAAUGCGUAGAUAUUGGGAGGAACUCCAGUUGCGAAGGCGGCUACCUGGACCGGUUCUGACGCUGAUGCGCGACAGCGUGGAGAGCAACCAGU
rnacentral:rRNA from 1 species